GUGUUAGCUUUGACAGCCCAGAGGCUAAAAUUAGACCAGUGCGGAGAUGAUCUUGGCUCUUGUGCCAGGAUGACAUGUAAAUUCAUGAGGCAUCCCAUAUUUUU
ensembl:snRNA U6 U6 spliceosomal RNA